AGAAAGUCCUCUCUCUCUCUCUCUCUCUCUCUCUCUCUCUCUAAGUUUUUUCAAAUGGCGUUUUGGCCUCUAUUUCUUUUACUUCUACUUGCGUUUUCACCAUCUAUGAAUGCUAACAUGGAAGGUGAUGCUCUUUAUGCACUGAGAAGAGCUUUAAAGGACCCAGGAAAUGUUCUACAGAGCUGGGACCCAACGCUGGUGGACCCAUGUACGUGGUUUCAUGUUACAUGUGAUAAAGAUAACAGGGUCACGAGGCUAGAUCUUGGAAAUGCAAGGCUAUCUGGUAAUCUUGUUCCUGAGCUUGGGAGACUGGAAAAACUCCAAUAUCUGGAGCUUUACAGGAACAAUCUGGUAGGCAGCAUCCCAAAGGAGCUUGGAGGGUUGAAGAGCCUUUUGAGCUUAGAUCUCUACCACAACAAUCUUACUGGGCCCAUCCCUCCAUCUCUCAACAGACUCUCUUCCCUCAGAUUUCUGCGACUCAACAAGAACAGGUUGACUGGUAGAAUACCCAGAGAGCUGACUACCCUCAGAAGCCUCAAGAUCCUGGACGUCUCAGAUAACGACUUGUGUGGGACCAUUCCAACAUCAGGAGCCUUCUCUAAGUUCUCUGAGAAGAGGUGAUGACUCCACUAAACGACAAAAGAGCAUUGAUUUACAAUGGAGUUAGGUGUAUACGACUCUCUCAGCACUAGCCACUUUGAGAAUAAUCCACGGUUGGAAGGGCCUGAACUGAUGGGAUCUGUGAGUUAUGAUGUGGGUUGCAGCAACUGACACAGUAUAAUGAAGUGACUCUUUUUUGGGUGAUGUGGAGCGUUUGGAUUUUUGAUGUAAAUAUAUUGGAUUCCUGUAGAUUAGAUUUUCUACAGGAGUUGGUGUGCGUUUGAAGAAAGCAUGUCUACUGUCCUGUUGUAUCUUCCACUACUUAACACUGAGGACGUUUUUUUUUUGUUU